AUUGAACGCUAGCGGCAGGCCUAACACAUGCAAGUCGAACGGAGCGAGGGACGGGGGAGUGAUGCCUAGUAAUCUGCAUGGUGGUGGGGGAUAACGUCCGGAAACGGGCGCUACUGCCACCUACUAUCAGAUUAGCCUAGGUCGGCUUAGCUAGUUGGAGGGGUAAAGGCCUAACAAGACGAUGAUCCGUAACUGGUCUGAGAGGAUGAUCAGUCACACUGGAACGUCGACACGGGCCAGACUCCUACGGGAGGCAGCAGUGGGGAAGAUUGGACAAGGGGCUAAAGCCUGAUCCAGCCAUGCCGAGUGUGUGAAGAAGGUCUUCGGAUUGUAAAGUACUUUAAGCUGGGAGGCGUUACCAACAGAAUAAGCACCGGCUAACUUCGUGCCAGCAGCCGCGGUAAUUC
rnacentral:rRNA from 1 species